rnacentral:tRNA from 8 species
GGAGAAUUAGCUCAGUUGGGAGAGCGGCGCCCUUACAAGGCGUAGGUCAUGGGUUCGAGCCCCUUAUUCUCCACCA